GACAGAGGUGCCGAGCGUUAGUCGGAAUCACUGGGCUUAAAGCGUGUGUAGGCGGAUCGUUAAGUGCCUUGUGAAAUCCCACGGCUCACCCGUGGAACUGCUGGGCAUACUGGCGGUCUUGAGCCACCUAGGGGCAACCGGAACAAACGGUGGAGCGGUGAAAUGCGUAGAUAUCGUUUGGAACGCCAAUGGUGAAAACAGGUUGCUGGGGGUGUGCUGACGCUGAGACACGAAAGCCAGGGGAGCAAACGGG
rnacentral:rRNA from 1 species